UGCAGUDNGUCGAACGGUAGCAGGAAGUGCUUGCACUUCGCUGACGAGUGGCGGACGGGUGAGUAAUGCUUGGGAACUUGCCUUUGGGUGGGGGAUAACAGUUGGAAACGACUGCUAAUACCGCAUAAUGUCUACGGACCAAAGGGGGCUUCGGCUCUCGCCUUGAGAGAGGCCCAAGUGAGAUUAGCUAGUUGGUGGGGUAAAGGCCUACCAAGGCAACGAUCUCUAGCUGUUCUGAGAGGAAGAUCAGCCACACUGGGACUGAGACACGGCCCAGACUCCUACGGGAGGCAGCAGUGGGGAAUAUUGCACAAUGGGGGAAACCCUGAUGCAGCCAUGCCGCGUGUGUGAAGAAGGCCUUCGGGUUGUAAAGCACUUUCAGUUGUGAGGAAAGGUUGGUAGUUAAUACCUGCCAGCUGUGACGUUAACAACAGAAGAAGCACCGGCUAACUCCGUGCCAGCAGCCGCGGUAAUACGGAGGGUGCGAGCGUUAAUCGGAAUUACUGGGCGUAAAGCGCACGCAGGCGGCUUGUUAAGCUAGAGGUGAAAGCCCCGCGCUCAACGUGGGAACUGCCUUUAGAACUGGCGGGCUAGAGUCUUGGAGAGGGGAGUGGAAUUCCAGGUGUAGCGGUGAAAUGCGUAGAUAUCUGGAGGAACAUCAGUGGCGAAGGCGGCUCCCUGGCCAAAGACUGACGCUCAUGUGCGAAAGUGUGGGUAGCGAACAGGAUUAGAUACCCUGGUAGUCCACACCGUAAACGCUGUCUACUAGCUGUUUGUGUAUUUAAUACGUGAGUA
rnacentral:rRNA from 1 species